UAUGGCAGAAUAGUGCAAUGGAUUUAAACCCCAUACAUAAAGUAAUUUUUUAUUAAAA
rnacentral:tRNA from 1 species